GACGAACGCUGGCGGCGUGGAUUAGGCAUGCAAGUCGUGCGUGAAAGUGGUAGCAAUACUGCGAGUAAAGCGGCGAACUGGUGAGUACAAGGUGAAUUACGUGCCCUUGAGUGGGGGAUAACCCGCCGAAAGGCGGGCUAAUACCGCAUGGUUUCCGAAAGGAAUAAAGCAGCAAUGCGCUCGAGGAUCGGUUCACCUCCCAUUAGCUAGUUGGUGGGGUAAUGGCCCACCAAGGCUACGAUGGGUAGCUGGUCUGAGAGGAUGGUCAGCCACACUGGAACUGAGAUACGGUCCAGACUCCUACGGGGGGCAGCAGUCUAGAGGCUUCGUCAAUGCCCGAAAGGGUGAACGAGCGACGCCGCGUGCGGGAUGAAGGCUUUCGGGUCGUAAACCGCUUUUGUUGGGAAGAAUGCCUGUGUCGUGAACAUGGGAGGGACGGUACCAGACGAAUAAGCCUCGGCUAACUCCGUGCCAGCAGCCGCGGUAAU
rnacentral:rRNA from 1 species